UUCCUUUCCGGAAGGUGAACUGCGGAAGGAU
rnacentral:rRNA from 1 species